rnacentral:lncRNA from 1 species
UGACCUAUAAUUCUUACUUGAAAGGAGCCCCAUUAUAUAGGCCCUUCCAAGAAUCCAGAGGCUGUUAAUGCUGUAUGGGACUAUGGUCUUUACUAUGUUUUUACCUUUGGUUUUCAUAAUAAAAUGCAGUUCAUCCAGGAAGUAGCCCACAGCCUGACAAUACUUGUUAACUAACUGCAUUCUAGUAGUCCCUUGGCUGCGGUUCAUUUUGUUAUUACAGCAACAGCAAUCUGAAUCUUGACCCUGUGGCCCCGCCUCAGGGUGGAGAGUCCUGAUGGGGCCUGUUACGAGGGUGGGCACUCAUGCUUUCUCUUGAGCUCGAUUUAAAGACUCAUCAAAACGCUUACCCCUAAAGUUUUAUAUUGAACCUUAGAACUGAAUCACCUCUAAUUGAAUUGAACAAGCAGCCAAUAACUUAGCCGUUCGUCGAAUCCAGUUUCGCAGGUGUUGGAACAGACUGCUGUCCUGUGUGCUGCAGAGUCUGUCCCUUGUUGGCACUUAGGAAGAUCCAGUUCCUCCCUCACUGGAAGUCUGCGCUUCUCAAGCGGAAGGGUUAAGCCUCUGGGGUUGCUUGCAGUGAUAGGCAGCCACUGAUGUCUUUUUAGUCAGUGGCCUUUGGGCCCUGGUCUUCAGUGUCAGCACUAGGGUUUGUUUGUCGUCUU